CUUAGCAUAUGACAUUUGCAAUUGUCUUUUAUAAUCCAGAAUAUCUUUCUGGCCAUUUUUCAACACUUUCAUGUUUUCUUUCAUCUUUAUCUCCAAUGAUGUACAUUUUUCAACAUUUGUUACCUGCUCUGUUUGAACUGAAAACAAACACACAGCACGCAUUCACACAUAUGACAUUUAUGCUUUACAACUAAACAUGCACACAUGUCUCUUCUAACCCGUUCAGUGGUAAUGUAUCCUUAUACACCCUGGCUCGGUUGCUCUAAGCUGGAUUAGCGCUAAUAGUGUGGCGGAUAUGUGCAUGGAUGUUUCCGAAGAAGGUUAAAAGCACCAAAUUGUGCACAAUAGCAUCUUUUUAUGAGUCGAACAACAUGCAAAAUGGGGCCAUCGUGAAACUGUUUUUUUAGAGAGUUACGAUGCUAUUAGCAUUAUUUGCUAUGAAAUUCUACUACAACAAAAAAUGUUAAAUUUUGAAUUCAAUCGCGACAAAUAUAACUUGCAUCAUCAGAAAGCUUGUAAAAACUAUAAAACUAUACAUUAUCUCGCUAAAAGUCUCGAUGUUUGAAAAUGCGUUUAAAAAACUGUCUAAACUUCUUAUGCAGUUUUUAUAAGCUUUCUGAUGAUGCAAGUCAUAUUUGUUGUAAUUGAAUACAAAAUUUCACAUUUUUUGGCUAUAAUAGAAUUCAAUAGAAGAAAAUCAUCACCCGUUUUCAGGAGUUAGCAGCAAAAUAGCGAUGGCCCCAUGCACUUCAAAUAUCUAUUAAGCAAAUAAAACUACAACAAUUGUAAAAGUUUGAUGCUUUUAACCUCAACGGGAACUACUGAUCAAUAAUUUUACACAUAUCCGCCUCACUAUAACUCGCGGUUAAAAUUUAACUUUCUGUUUUAGUUUAUGUAUUUCUACGCAUCCGUUUAUUUCAAAACUUCAGAGAAGAAAACUACUAUUCAGUGCUGGAAAAUGUCCGGCAGCGCCAGCAGCACCGCUGCCAGGAAAUUUUUACCAAAAUAUCUUUUCUUACCUUGCAGGAAAUUUUUGUCAUCUUAUAUACUGGAAUGCCAUAUAAUUUACGUAUUGGUGUAGUGUACUCAGGUGAAUAUGAUAUUUGUGGUGUUACUCUGAGUAGCUAGUAUUCCAAAGGUCGUAGGUUCGAAUCCCACC